rnacentral:rRNA from 1 species
CGAACGCUGGCGGCAGGCUUAACACAUGCAAGUCGAGCGAGGACUUCGGUUCUAGCGGCGGACGGGUGAGUAACGCGUGGGAACGUGCCCUUUGCUACGGAAUAGCCCCGGGAAACUGGGAGUAAUACCGUAUGUGCCCUUUGGGGGAAAGAUUUAUCGGCAAAGGAUCGGCCCGCGUUGGAUUAGGUAGUUGGUGGGGUAAUGGCCCACCAAGCCGGCGAUCCAUAGCUGGUUUGAGAGGAUGAUCAGCCACACUGGGACUGAGACACGGCCCAGACUCCUACGGGAGGCAGCAGUGGGGAAUCUUAGACAAUGGGGGCAACCCUGAUCUAGCCACGCCGCGUGAGUGAUGAAGGCCUUAGGGUUGUAAAGCUCUUUCAGCUGGGAAGAUAAGGACGUACCAGCAGAAGA